GCUCACCUCGCUGGGCGCUGAUAAAAUGCCUGGGCCGGGUGAUCUGCUGAGCAGCCCUGCAGAAAAACCUGCAGAGCUUGGGAGCCUGAUCUGCCAGCGACCAGCCCGGGGCUCCAGAGCACAGCAAGGUGAGCAACUUGCAGUGAUACACUUGGGAGAGUCCUCUUGAUGGAUUUGAACUGAAUAUAAAACCCUGGACAUCUUCUGAGCAGUGCUUUAUGACACCCCCCUGCAUUUUGUACAUAGACCAGGAAAGACAGCAAGGUGGUGAGUCCCAUUUUCAGGUGUAUCCAUGUGCUACAGAUCAGUGUGAGA
rnacentral:lncRNA from 1 species